GGAAACUAAAGAAUAUUGACCUGUUUGAAACAACCUACCUUUAGACUUGUAUGGUGCUAAUGGGCACACUUUCCAAGUGGGGUGCAAUCAAGGCAUCCAACUUGACCAACCAGAAUGCAACUGCAGAUGAAGUCCGGGGCAUGCUUGAAAAGCUUGCAAUAAUGUCUUCUGGGUCAUAAUUCAAUCCCAAAGUAUGACCAGAUUCACA
rnacentral:misc_RNA from 1 species